rnacentral:tRNA from 1 species
CUAAGAUGGCUGAAGUGUUAGGCGUCGGGUUGUAGUUUCGAUUAUGUGGUUAGUGCCGCUCUUAGA